CUGGUUCAACUCUACAUUUUGCAUCAAAAAUACAUUUAAUAAAAGUAAAGGAUUUUAAUGUUUGAUUGUUUUCUCUGUGUGCUUCGGUUCCAAGCUCCUCUCCUCGGUUCGCUUGCCGCUUCUGACAUGUAUGGCUAUCUGAUAGAACACCUGAGACGUUACGCCGCGGAAGGACAGCAGGGACAGAGACGUGACGCUGCAGUGGAUUGACAACCUGUCCAGGGUGUACAACGCCUCUCGCCCGAUGACAGCUGGAGAUCGGCACCAUCACCCCUCCCGAUGCCAAUGGGAUAAGGGUGUAAGGAAAUGGAUGGAUGGAUGUUUUCUCCAAAUAGUGCGGCACUUUGUUUUUCACGGAGCGUUGUUUCAUGCUGGCAGCUCUUCCAUGAGUCAAAAGGACUGGACGAAAGUGCUGACUUUAAUGGAGACGCUGGUCAUGCUGCCUGAGGCCAGAGUGUCGCUAAUGGCUGGUAGGAGAGCAAAAGAUGGACAAAGUCCUUUUCUUCCCUCCUCCCUUUUCUCUGCUGUGGCUUUAAUUCUCCAAAUCAAUACAAAUCUCUUUAGAAUGGC